UACGUAGGGUGCGAGCGUUGUCCGGAAUUACUGGGCGUAAAGAGCUCGUAGGUGGUUUGUCGCGUUGUUCGUGAAAACUCACAGCUUAACUGUGGGCGUGCGGGCGAUACGGGCAGACUGGAGUACUGCAGGGGGAGACUGGAAUUCCUGGUGGUAGCGGUGAAAAUGCGCAGAUAUCGGGAAGGAACACCGGUGGCGAAGGCGGCUCUCUGGGCCUGUACUGACGCUGAGGAGCGAAAGCGUGGGGAGCAAACA
rnacentral:rRNA from 1 species